ensembl:lincRNA
GCUGCACCUGUGGGAAGCCGACUGGCAGGUCAGUGGCCUCCUGUGUAUUUCAAACUCCCCCUUGAACUUGUCCUGUCUGUGGAAAGCAAGGACCUAGGGGCUGGAUUAAACUGGACGGCCAGGCUUCGGUGGCCCCUUGCGCAGCGGGGACGCUGAGAUGCUGAGGGACCCAGCCCAGUUCCUUCCGCCCGCACCUGGGUGGCGAGGAUGGCAGCUCCACACCCUGUGGCCUUUUGCUCCAGGAGCUGCAGUGGUUGCCAGGAGGCACUCGAGAAGCGGCUUUCAGGGCCCCAAGUUGCCAGGGCAUCCUGGACCCUGCCAGCUGGGCUGGGUGUGUGGUGGCUUCCGGGGAGGCGAGCGCGGUCUCUCGGGUCCCUGGACUCCUGUCUGCCUGCGUCUGCGCUGGCUCAGCCCUCUCACGCUGCCUCUCUCUCCCCUUCCAGUUCCUUCCUCCUUGUGCUGGGCGCAGAAGACCCUGAGAUUGCUGGGCGAGGCCCAUGGAUGUCGCUGUCCCCGCGGGUUCCUGACCCGAUGCUCACCCCCCUCGGUCACCAUGGCGGCCUGCAGGAGGCGUGGCCCCCCCGGAUGAGCAGCAGCCUCCAGGGGCCCCCUCUGCGGCGGCGGGGUGGCGUGGUGGACUACCGGGAUGUCAUCUUGGCCCACCAGGCACACAAGACCCACAGCACCCCGCAGGCCCGGAGGAAGGAGUGGGAGAUGGUGGUUGGAGCAGGUUUUGUUGAACUGUGGAACUUGAGGUGCCGAUCAGCUUAUCUGACAUGUUAAGGAGACUGUGUGGGCCUGAGGGGCUCCUCGAUGGCGGCAGCACGAAGGCCCCCACCAGGAAGACUAAGGCCGGGAAGAGGUCUUUCCAUCCUGCUCCCGACCUCUGGGGAGGAAAGAGGACUGCAGUUGAGUUCAGUCUGCUAUGGUCACUGAUGUAAUCCAUCACAACUGAGCAAGAGGGCUCUCAUGGAUGCCUAGGAACAAGACAGUCCCAAAGGGGGACAGUCCGACAGGUCUUGGAUUGACGAAAGCUGAGGACAUUACACUCCGUGAAGCAAACCAGUCACCAACAGACAAAUACACCAUUCCCCUUCUAGAUAUCUUCCCAAGAGAGUUAAAGACAUCAUAUCUCAAAGAUCCGUGCAUACCCAUGUUUAUAGCAGCACAAUUCCUAACAACUAAAUCUUGGAAACAGACUAUAUAUCCAUCAUCAGAUGACUGCAUACAGAAAAUGUGGUAUUUAUAUAAAGUGGAGUACUACUCUGCCAUAAAGAAGGAGCCAUUUGUAGAAACUUGAGUCACGGGUAGGAAAAUGGCUGUUAUUGUUGUUGUUGUUGUUGGUACCGGGGAUCGAACUGGGGACCUUGCACUUGUGAAGCAGGCAGUGGCACCACUGAACUAAAUCCCAGGCCUGAGACCAUAAUAUUAAGUGAAAUAAAUCAGACAAACAGGCUUACAUAUUGCGUGAGAAACCCAAAGUAUAAAUAAAUUAAAGAGCAGAAUAAAAGAUGGAUAGUAGGAAAUAGGGAGAUAGAUCUUUUGCAAAGAGGGAGGGGAUCAAGAGGCGUAGGGAGAGGGAUGUGUAGGGAAGGGGAUAAAAAAAGAAUUAAGAUGUGUUACGUACACGAACCAAGCCCACGCAAGGGAUGUCAUCAUUAUGUACUAUGAACAUGGACUAAGGAAAAGUGCAAUGGAAAUAGAACCCUCCCAAAAGACAAACACGGCACUAUUCUACUAACAUAGGCUGCUUGUUAGUACAGCAGGUGAAAUUCUUCAAGAUCUAAACAGAGGAGUUGGGGAGGGGGGCACUGACCGAGUAGGGGAGGGGUAGGACUGAAUUUAAUGGGGACAAAGUCUCAUUUUAGGAAGGCAAAAAGUUCCAUAGAGAGAUGGUGGUGAAGGGUAUGUAGUUAAUGCUCCUGAACUUUGCACUUAUAGAUAGGUUGUAAAUUUGGUGUUGUUGUUGCCUGGCAAACGCAAGGUCCUGAGUGUGAUUCCCAGGACUAGGGGAGAAAAAAAACAAAAAAAGAGGAGCCUUCCUCUCAGCCAUGUGGUGGUUGGAGGAGGGGAAGGAGUGAGGAUUCUGUGCGUUCAAGUGUGUAACGAUGAUGCCUGAACCAGGGAAUGGGUCGGGGAAAUAGUUCACAAGUGGCUGGCUCACAAAUUGUGUGGCAGUAGUGAAAAAGUCUUUGCCUCUGUUUAGAUCUGGUCCACAUGGCUUAUAGAAGACUGUAUCAUCCAGACUCAGGCUCACAGAGGAGCCUAAACUGGGGUUCACGAUUUGACCAUCUCAGAUGCGGGCUUGUGGUCUGCUUGGCAAAUAUGAAGAGAUGUGCAUGAACUGAAUCAUGUGGAGCCUGUGUGGAGAGUUUCGUGUGGUCCUGCCAGGACAGGCUGGUGGGCUGCACGGGGGCAGGCUGAGAAACAAGAGAAGCUGAUGUUGUUUAUGGCCAGAAGUCCAAAAUCAAGGUGGGCUUCGGGGAGAAGUUGAUCCAGCACUGUUUUCAUCUGUCAAGGAUACAAACAGUUAAGAUGGUUGUAGCUGCAGUGGGGG